GACGUAGGAGGCGAGCGUUGUCCGGCUUCAUUGGGCGUAAAGAGCGCGCAGGCGGCUUGGUAAGUCGGAUGUGAAAUCCCGAGGCUCAACCUCGGGUCUGCAUCCGAUACUGCCCGGCUAGAGGUAGGUAGGGGAGAUCGGAAUUCCUGGUGUAGCGGUGAAAUGCGCAGAUAUCAGGAGGAACACCGGUGGCGAAGGCGGAUCUCUGGGCCUUACCUGACGCUCAGGCGCGAAAGCUAGGGGAGCGAACUGG
rnacentral:rRNA from 1 species